AAUGCAUUUUGGAAUUGCCAUGGUGCAGCUUUUAGGUGGAAGCAGAACAGACCAGCUCCUAGAAAUGGGAUCUGAAAUAGAAGUGACAAAUGUGACAUCCUGCAGCAUCCUGCUCCAGGGACAGCGUCGGGUGGGGAUUUUGGCUGGGGUGGUACACCCGUCAAACCGUAAGGCAGGUCUCCUAAGGCAAGCUCAGGGAGGACAGAAACCUCCCACGGAGGAGAAGGGCAAAAACUUGCUUGAGCUUGACUUUCAGUACAAAUACAGACUGUGAAAGCAGGGCUUCAUGAUCAUUCUGACUUUCUGGGU
rnacentral:ncRNA from 1 species